UCCUUUCUUGACUAAGUCUUCUGAGGACACCUGGGUUCCCUCACAGGGCAGACUCUCAGGUUUUUCUGUUAGCUUUCUGUCAUGGACGAUACAAGUUGUGCAUCAGUACAUGGGAAGUGUUUCUCACCUGCUGGUCUGUAUGGAAGCAAUAGGCGAGCCAGGAAGGAGAAUUCUGAACUCAUCUUUAUCACCUAUAUGCAUGCUGAUAAUGGCCACUGAAUUUCUCAGAGUUCGUUGGGUACGCUUUUCUAGGGAAAAUACGGGACAUCUGCCUUUCCUGGAGCAUGCCUGGCCCUGCUGGAAGCUGGUAUUAGAGGCUCUAGCAAGAACUCUAGCAAGAGCGUGUACACAAGGACCUCACAGAAUCUCACACGCAAGUCACAAGAUGGCCUAAGUAGGGAAAGAGAGGCUGUGAAGUGAGUCACAAGGGAGAGACAAUUGAGGAAGACACCUGAUGUCAACCUCUGACUUCCACUUGGGCUUUCCCAGGCCUCAGAUGUGGUGGAGAAGCUUGUUGAAGUGUGAGGGAAACAAGGACAGUUGCCACUUGGAAGCAA
rnacentral:lncRNA from 1 species